rnacentral:rRNA from 1 species
CCUACGGGCGGCUGCAGUGGGGAAUAUUGCACAAUGGGCGCAAGCCUGAUGCAGCCAUGCCGCGUGUGUGAAGAAGGCCUUCGGGUUGUAAAGCACUUUCAGCGGGGAGGAAGGCGGUGAGGUUAAUAACCUCAUCGAUUGACGUUACCCGCAGAAGAAGCACCGGCUAACUCCGUGCCAGCAGCCGCGGUAAUACGGAGGGUGCAAGCGUUGAUCGGAAUUACUGGGCGUAAAGCGCACGCAGGCGGUCUGUCAAGUCGGAUGUGAAAUCCCCGGGCUCAACCUGGGAACUGCAUUCGAAACUGGCAGGCUAGAGUCUUGUAGAGGGGGGUAGAAUUCCAGGUGUAGCGGUGAAAUGCGUAGAGAUCUGGAGGAAUACCGGUGGCGAAGGCGGCCCCCUGGACAAAGACUGACGCUCAGGUGCGAAAGCGUGGGGAGCAAACAGGAUUAGAUACCCUUGUAGUC